rnacentral:tRNA from 1 species
CUUGCCCUGAUAGCUUAAGUUUAAAGCAUUG